CAAUCCGGAGGGAGCUGUGCUGCUGAGACCGGAGACCAAGGGCUGCUCCGGCUCGCAGUAGCUGCAGCGCUGAGACACGAACCUACAGCAUUACCACGAAGGAAUAAUGACGACUGCGAGUCUAAGGAAGCCGAGCGCACCAAAAGAGCUUAUGCUCAGCAUACACGUUGUAACAUGGAAUGUGGCCUCUGCAGCCCCCACUGUGGACCUCAGUGACCUACUUCAACUGAACAACGAAGACCUGAAUCUGGACAUAUAUAUCAUUGGGUAGGUGUCUAGGGGGCCCCACCCCCAUCCCUGUAGAGGACUAAUGUAACUUGUCCUCCCUCAUUUUGGAGUCUGAAGGUCUUGUUUUGAGCUUUCAUCCUCAGUGGGUCCUGUCUUGUGUUUCUUGUCCUGGGUCAGCAAUGGUCAUGGAUAGAAGGGCAGCAGCCACACAGCUGGGGAAGGGAGACCUCUUGGUUUUCAGAACCCAGGUCUGAUGCUAUGUGUGGGAGAGGCAGUGUCCUCCAGGCCAGGGAUGAGCCUCUGGCUUGGAAUGGUCAGUUUGCAGGAAAUGAAUUAUGGGAUCAUAAGCCUUCUUUCUGAUGCUGCCUUUGAGGACCCAUGGAGCAGUUUCUUCAUGGAUAU
rnacentral:lncRNA from 1 species